CGUUCUCGUCCGAUCACACGAAGUUAAGCAGCGUCGGGAGGGGUCAGUACUUGGAUGGGUGAUCGCCUGGGAACACCGCGUGAUGU